rnacentral:lncRNA from 1 species
ACACUAUUUUUUAGCCGAAGAGAAUAAUAAAUGAUAUAAUUUUGAAUCGUUUUCUCACCAUCAUCGCGCUAUUCAACCAAAACAGGCCCGAGAGCCUCGCCGCGGCGCGGUUUCUUAACGUGGACAUGAUUGCAGCCUGCAGGUGCCACGCAUUUUCAAGUUUCAUCACUGCAAAGAAAAACGCAUGAAUUCUAUCUAACGCGUCUCCUGGAGCGUGCAUGUGAGACUAAAAGCACCCACCACGACGUUGGUUGCCCUGUGCCGCCGGUAUCCCUGCCCUGCUGGUCUCUUCCCCCCCCACUCGUACGGACAUGCCAUGGUGGGCAAUACCGGGGAAGCCGUUCGUUGUGUAACGAGCGCUGCGCCGCAGCGGGGACGCGACGGAGACACACAGUGAGUGAGACUGCUUGUCCCAUACAGGGUCAUGGGGAACCAGAUCCUACCCAGCAACACAGGGCAUAAGGCCAGAGGGGGAGGGGACACACCCAGAACAGAACGCCAGUCUGUCACAAGGCACCCCAAGCAGGACUCGAACCCCAGACCCACCGGAGAGCAGGAGUGUGGUCCAACCCACUGCGCCACCGCACCCCCUAUUACUAGGUUGCGGGGAACCGGAGCCUACCCAGCAACUCAGGGCGUAAGGCCGGAGGGGACACACCCAGGACGGGACACCAGUCCAUCACAAGCCACCCUAAGCAGGACUCAAACCCCAGACCCACCGGAGAGCAGGACCCAGUCCAACCCACUGCACCACCGUGCCCCCGUCACUUUGUAAUGUAUUCAAACCUAAAAAUAACAUAUGUUAAAAACUAUAUUAAAAGCAUACAACUUCAGCAAGCAUCUGUUAUAUAUACCUGUCUUGAUCUUGGGUCCAAGCAGUUUUUCUGUAUGUUUAAAUGUCUUUCCAGUAGUUCCUCUCCACUAUAUGUUAUACUUACACUAAAUCAUUGUUUUUAUGUUUUGUUUAUAUAUUCC